CUGAGGGACAGGAAGACUCAUCCUUUCUGCCCACUUAGUUAGGCAAACCGAAGUGCUCUCCUUCCAAAAGACAGGGCGGCGUCAUGGUACUGUGGUGAAGAAAAGGAGUCAGGUGCAUACGGCUGGGAGGAUGCUGACCGUGGUCCAGGUCUCCCUCUCCGUUCAUCAGGUUUAAGGAGCGAUGCUAAGAGAUAACUGUCCGAUUCGCCAUGGGUUAAUAGAAACCAGAACAAGCCCCAGAUGGGGAGCACAACGAAAAGUCAUAAAUGCAGAAUUCAAGGGGGACAACAUUCAAACACACGACACCCAGUACAAAGUGGAUCCAACAACCAAGAAAGGAGAAACUGGACGGACAAGGACUCCCAUAGAGAAAAAAAAAAAAAUUUAAAGCUGAAUACUUGUCUCCUGACCUCUUCUGACAUACGGCGUGAACAUCAUCUCUGCUUGGGGCCAAGAAGAUCUGAGACGAAGAAUGCUGUGCAGAACAAUGUUUCCUCCCGGAGCAACACAGCCAGGCAUGUGAAGACAGAGCCACUACGCUAGGACACUGCCCUUGGCUUUCAGCCUUUGAGAACAGUAGCAAGAGCUGGCGGUGGGUGGAACUUUUGGCGACCAUGUUUUAACUGAUUUUUUUUGUCAUUAAGACAAGAGGCUGAGCAGGAAGGGUGGACAGACAAUAAAGCAGGAGGUGACAUUAAUCACCAAACAUAGAGUGACCUUUCUCCAGGCCUCCUUUAAAUUAGAUGUAUAGCCUUGUGUGUUUAAGGCAAUUGCUAACUGUUUCACCCUGCUCUGAC
rnacentral:lncRNA from 1 species